UACGAAGGGGGCGAGCGUUGUUCGGAUUUACUGGGCGUAAAGGGCGCGCAGGCGGCCAUUCAAGUCAGGCGUGAAAGCCCCGGGCUUAACCUGGGAGGUGCGUCUGGGACUGGGUGGCUGGAGAUCGGGAGAGGAGAGUGGAAUUCCCAGUGUAGAGGUGAAAUUCGUAGAUAUUGGGAAGAACACCGGCGGCGAAGGCGGCCCUCUGGAUCGUUGCUGACGCUGAGACGCGAAAGCGUGGGGAGCAAACAGG
rnacentral:rRNA from 1 species